rnacentral:tRNA from 1 species
GGAAUAUAGCUCAGUUGGUAGAGUGCUUGCCUUGCAUGCACAAGGCCCUGGGUUCAAUCCUCAGCACCA